GGCUUCCUUUUUUUCCCUCCCCCCCCUCCCCCCCCCCAGCUGCCUCCAUUUCCUUAAGGAAGGGUUUUUUUCUCUCUCCCUCCCCCACACCGUAGCGGCGCGCGAGCGGGCCGGGCGGGCGGCCGAGUUUUCCAAGAAAUAACUUCAGCAAGAUGUCCAGUGAUAGGCAAAGGUCCGAUGAUGAGAGCCCCAGCACCAGCAGUGGUAGUUCAGAUGCGGACCAGCGAGACCCAGCCGCUCCAGAGCCUGAAGAACAGGAAAAAAGAAAACCUUCUGCCACCCAGCAGAAGAAAAACACCAAACUCUCUAGCAAAACCACUGCUAAGUUAUCCACUAGUGCUAAAAGAAUUCAGAAGGAGCUAGCUGAAAUAACUCUUGAUCCUCCUCCUAACUGCAGUGCUGGGCCUAAAGGAGAUAACAUUUAUGAAUGGAGAUCGACUAUACUUGGUCCACCAGGUUCUGUAUAUGAAGGUGGUGUGUUUUUUCUGGAUAUCACUUUUUCAUCUGAUUAUCCGUUUAAGCCACCAAAGGUUACUUUCCGCACCAGAAUCUAUCACUGCAACAUCAACAGUCAGGGAGUCAUCUGUCUGGACAUCCUUAAAGACAACUGGAGUCCUGCUUUGACUAUUUCAAAGGUUUUGCUGUCGAUUUGUUCUCUUUUGACAGAUUGCAACCCUGCGGAUCCUCUGGUUGGAAGCAUAGCCACUCAGCAUUUGACCAACAGAGCAGAACAUGACAGGAUAGCCAGACAGUGGACCAAGAGAUACGUCACAUAAUUCACAGAAUUUGUAUGCGGUGUGAAGGAGCAGAAGGGCCCCUUCCCACUGUGCUGCAAAUCUUUAUAGCCUUUACAAUACGGACUUCUGUGUAUAUGUUAUACUGAUUCUACUCUCUGCUUUUAUCCUUUGGAGACUGGGAGACUCCCCAAAAAGGUAAAUGCUAUCAAGAGUAGAACUUUGUAGCUGUAGAUUAGUUACGUUUAAAACGCCUACUUGCAAGUCUUGCUUCUUUGGGAUAUCAAAAUGUAUUUUGUGAUGUACUAAGGAUACUGGUCCUGAAGUCUACCAAAUAUUAUAGUGCAUUUUAGCCUAAUUCAUUAUCUGUAUGAAGUUAUAAAAGUAGCCGUAGAUGACGAGGAAUUAUGUCAUUUGU